UUUGGGACAUCAUCUUUUGUGGAAGCUCAUUUUCACCAAGUAUGUAUCCUGUCUAAUGUAGACAAGAGGACGUGAGAUGAGGUGUAGGGAGCAGAUUGCCUAUGUUUAAACAUAUUGGUGGGGAAAUGUUUUUCCUCCUUUGUUCCCAGAACCUGAUGCCUGAAAAGUUGCAGGUCUGCCAUGAAAAAUCAUUUUCUGCCUUCUGAUGUCCCUGAUGAAACCCUAAUGAUGUAGGCCUAGAGAAGGUCACCUUGGAAGACAAUGAGCAUAAUACCUGCCUCUUUAGUCCCUGAAUUUCAUAAAGUAAACCUGCCAUUAUCUGUCAAGUCCACAGCUCUUGUGCCUGUGGAUGUGGAACUGGCAGCCAGUUUCCUCAAUGAUCUAAAAUAUUCCUUCUCUUAUAGGAGCCUGGCCACAUCCUGAAUCGUGACCCAGAGGAUUCCUAACCUGAGGACUUGCACACUCAACCCUGGUGUCCGUGGUGGAAAAGAUCGUCUCCAAGUUCGGGAAAGCUCAGAAGUUCUACACAGCUUCAGGAGGACAUCCUGUACAGGGCACUGGGAUGGCUCAUGUUCCAGCAUCCAGCUACAGGACCUGCUCCAGUUGUCAUCAAUAUCUAAGGAUAACAGAAGGAUCCCCUGUGAAAGCCUUCCAUAGAUGACCCUAGAAAACUACCUGAGCAGAGAAAGAAAGGGCCACUGCAGAGCCUUGGGACACGAGAGUGCAUCUGCACAGCCUCUAGACUGGAGUUCCUGGAAAGGGCAGUGUCCUUGGACCUUCUCUCUCAGGCCAGUAAUCACCGGAUGAUGGUGCACUUGAUGUCAGUCACUUAGACUGUUUCCUACUGGUAUUGGAUAGAGACAACACACAAACAACAAAUAUCAAAAUACCAAAGUAGAUUUCCUGCUGAAUUUACACCAAUUGGCAAAUAGAACAUGUAUUUUUCUGAGAGGAUUUCAAAGGACUCUAAACUCUCAGAGACCCCUGUUUCUCCACAAUUUUUGCUGCUGUUUAACUGACAGAUCUUUUCUUAGAUAGACUUGAAACAUGUCAAUCUGCUACCCAAGCACUAAAUGUGACAUCCACCUGGUUCUAAUCCCAAAAGUGAAGGCAGAGGACAGGAGCGACUCCUCCAGACCCUGCACUGCUGGUUCCAGCCCUUCACACAAAGUCUCAGAGAUCCACAGAGUAGAACAGGGAAGAAACGGAGAUGGAAACAUGGAUUCACACACAAAUCCCAGUGAGUGACCCACCUACAUCGCAUCAGUUGAUUUUGGCAUUGGAAAUGAAGGCAGAGAACAUGAUCUGUCCACAAAAGUCUACAAUGAUGCAAAGGUAAACAAUAAGGAACCCAUUAGAAAACUGAACACACAUUCAACUAUUACAGCUGACCCCAAUGCAAACACUACAAAAUUCAUGUAAGAGAUGCAGAAGAGAUCUACAUAAGUUUCAGCCUCUUAAGGAAGUAGAGAAAGACAGCACAGAA